GGCCAGUUAGCUCAGUCAGUUAGAGCGUGGUGCUGAUAACACCAAGGUCACGGGUUUGAUCCCUAUUUGGUCC
rnacentral:tRNA from 1 species